rnacentral:rRNA from 1 species
CCUACGGGGGGCUGCAGUAGGGAAUAUUGCUCAAUGGGGGAAACCCUGAAGCAGCAACGCCGCGUGGAGGAUGAAGGUUUUAGGAUUGUAAACUCCUUUUGUUAGAGAAGUUUAUGACGGUAUCUAACGAUUAAGCACUGGCUAACUCCGUGCCAGCAGCCGCGGGAAUACGGAGGGUGCAAGCGUUACUCGGAAUCACUGGGCGUAAAGAGUGCGUAGGAGGGGUAAUAAGGCAGGUGUGAAAUUCUGUAGCUUAACUACAGAAAUUCAUUUGAAACUGUUACUCUUGAGUGUGGGGGAGGGAAGUGGAAUUCUGGGGGUAAGGGGAGAAACCUU